GACGAACGCUGGCGGCGUGCUUAACACAUGCAAGUCGAACGGAAAGGCCCUGCUUUUGUGGGGUGCUCGAGUGGCGAACGGGUGAGUAACACGUGAGUAACCUGCCCUUGACUUUGGGAUAACUUCAGGAAACUGGGGCUAAUACCGGAUAGGAGCUCCUGCUGCAUGGUGGGGGUUGGAAAGUUUCGGCGGUUGGGGAUGGACUCGCGGCUUAUCAGCUUGUUGGUGGGGUAGUGGCUUACCAAGGCUUUGACGGGUAGCCGGCCUGAGAGGGUGACCGGCCACAUUGGGACUGAGAUACGGCGCAGACUCGAACGGGGGGCAGCAGUGGGAAAUAUUGCACAGUGGGCGGAAGCCGGAUGAAGCAACGCCGCGGGCGGGAUGACGGCCUUCGGGUUGAAAACAGCUUUAGCCUGUGACGAAGCGUGAGUGACGGUAAUGGGUAAAGAAGCACCGGCUAACUACGUG
rnacentral:rRNA from 1 species